AACAAGCAAAAUCAGUACUUUAAACGUUCUUUAAGAGCAUUUUAUUUUCACUUAUAAGAAUCUUGUAGCAUGCUACAAAGUUGAAUUUGGGCGCAGUUAUACGAGCAUUUAGUUCUAUAACUAUCUUAUAAUCAUCUUAUACAAUGUUAUUAAGCCUUAUAAUAUACUUGACGAAGCUCAAUAGCGCCUUUAAUGAUAUGAGACUAAACAAUUACAAGUGCAAACACUCUUGUUAGUAUCUGACGUAAGUAUUUUAUUAGAGCAAUCUUGUUUAUAAAGCACUUGUAAUGGUCUUAGAAAAUAGUUUUAAGUAUAUUUUAAUACAAGUUAUUUUCGUUGUUGCUUUGACUGGUCGUGCCGGAUUUUUUGUGUUACCACGCACGUAAAAACGUUCAAAAUGCCAUUUAAAAUUGUUCAGACCAUUGAAAAGGGUAACAUUGUAUUGACAUGUGUACCACAUCAAUGGGAGAGCGAUGGAGUUUUGUAUUGGCCCAGAAAACAAACCCAGUCACAGACGAGUAAGUUACAAAAGGAUGAAGGUAGUUGGCCCGAUGAAUCUUGGGAAAAAAUAAACUGUGCGGUAAAAAGGCGGAGCAUAAAAACGUAUCAAAAUGCAAUACAUGAAAUUGAUAUAAUGAGCAAUAAUUCAGACACAGAACCUGACAUAGAAUACGUCUCAUCAAAAAAACAGCGCAAUUGCUCUGAUCUUCCACAGCUGUCAUAUGAUAAUAUGGCAGAAGAAAUUUUAAAGAAUAAUGAGCAUAAUGCUUCUUCAGCAAUAAUACCUGAAGAUGGAGAACAAAUAAUGGUGACUAAUUACGAAAUCACGACACCGAAAGAGUCAACUCCAUCUGAAACACCGUUGAGCGCGCCGCAAGAAAAUAUUGAAAAAUACAUUGUUAUUCCUGAAAGUAAUCAGUCGGACACACCUAUAAUAUACUCGUACAUUAAUAAAGAAACAAGUUUAUCAGAAGAACAAUGCGAAUUAAAAUCCAUGAAAAUAGAUAUCACCACUAUUAAAAGUGACCUAAAAUCCAUAAAUGACGAUAUGAAGACUAUAAUGGGGACCCUGAACACAACACUAAAUAAUCAAGCCGUAUUACACGAAACACUGAAAUCGAUUUUAUUACAAGUGACUGAAAUACAAGUUACGAACGAAGAAUUCAUUAAAAAAUCUAUUACAGAAAAACAAAACCAUUCGUUGAUGUUAAAACCAAUACAAGAUUUAAAAGAUUUAGAAGAGUUUGAAAAUAAAUUGAUGGAUUCUGAUUAUAGAGAAGAUUUACUAAGAAAGUUUAGUGUGUUUGGCACUAAAGGGACAGGAAAGGGAAUCACAAGAGCAUAUACAAUUAUUGAUAUUUUGUUUGAAAGAAAGUUUUUCAAAUCGUGUUCGUGGACUGGAGCUUCACGUUCCCAAAAUGAAACAACAGAAAAAAUCUGCUUAAAGGUUUCUCUAAGAUGAUUGGUUUCUUUUUUGAAGUUAUUUAUAAACAAGACUCGUCGUUCCAUUUAACUGACUGUCAUAAUUUUUUUAAAACAAUUUUGCGAAAUGCCGAUCAGCGGGCCAAAUCGAAGCAAUUACGAACUUCCGCAAGUAAAUGCAGAGGAAAAAUAGCGCCAAAAGGACUUCUUCUGAAAAUCCUACAUCUACACCACAAACCACUGGUAACCAAUUAGAAGUUGAAGAUGUUACAGAGGAAAUUUUUGUCUGAAACUAUUUGAUCUAAUUUUAUUUGACUAAGUGACUUUUGCAUCAAUAUUAAUUAUAACACGAGAGACAUUAGACUACCCCAAUCUGUCUUUGACAGUUUGGGAUAGUCUGACGUGCUGUCGUCACUCAAAUACAAAUAGAUCAAUAUCCUAGUAACUAAAUCAAAUCAUUUCAGACAAAAAUUUAGUCUGAUCUGAUUUGCUGAAAUUAUCUUCUAAGUUGUGUAGUUUUAGUAAAUUUUACCAGACUGCGACGAUGCUCAAAAUUAGGGUUAUAUAUUUGACCUGAAUUAAAGAAUAUAAUCUUAUAUUAUAUUAUAAAAAAUAUUUCAAUUUAAAUUUGCCAUAAAGAUGAUUACAUGAUCUUAAUGGCGAAGUUAAAUUGAUAUAUUUUGUUUAACUCGUAAAGUUUUAUUAGUUAUAAGAUUUAUUAGUACAAGGAAGCUAAGAUAAAUUUAAAAUUGUUGCCAGCACAUUAAGCAACCCCAAAAAAUCUGACAAAUUUCUUUAAAUGACUUUCAACUUUAUUACACAUAAAACAUUCAUAAUAUAAUAAGGUGCUUAUAUGUUAUGGAUUACGUUCAAUUUUGAAAAUUUGUCAGAUUUUUGAGAUAGGUUGAUGUGCUGGC